GUACAGUGCAUUGGGUAGAGUACCGUGCAUUGGGUAGAGUACCGUGCAUUGGGUAGAGUACAGUGCAUUGGGUAGAGUACAGUGCAUUGGGUAGAGUGCCGUGCAUUGGGUAGAGUGCCGUGCAUUGGGUAGAGUACCGUGCAUUGGGUAGAUAACAGUGCAUUGGGUAGAGUACAGUGCAUUGUGUCCUGUUAAACGUCAGAACGGAACGGAAUGCAUGAAAGGAAUGAAGAAAUGUGGACAGAAUGAAGAAGUGGUGACAGAGCGGUGACAGAUUAGACACAGUGACUCAGUCAGAUUGCAUUAUCAGACGCAGCUGUGUGUAGGCUGAAGCGAGCAGAGUGAGACCUGCAGAUGUAUAUGGACAGACUGCCCUGGUGACUUGUUGGCCUCUGUGUGCGUGUGUGUGUGCGUGUGCUGUGUGUUGCGUGUGUGUCUGUUUGCGUGUGUGUGUGUGUGUAUAUAUAUAUGUAUACAGUAAAAUCCCUAGUGUUGAAUUGACACCCAGAGUGUUUAUAAGAGUCCAGUGGACUCAUAUAAA
ensembl:lncRNA